rnacentral:rRNA from 1 species
GACGAACGCUGGCGGCGUGCCUAAUACAUGCAAGUAGAACGCACAGUUUAUACCGUAGCUUGCUACACCAUAAACUGUGAGUUGCGAACGGGUGAGUAACGCGUAGGUAACCUGCCUGGUAGCGGGGGAUAACUAUUGGAAACGAUAGCUAAUACCGCAUAAUAUUGAUUAUUGCAUGAUAAUUGAUUGAAAGAUGCUAUUGCAUCACUACCAGAUGGACCUGCGUUGUAUUAGCUAGUAGGUGAGGUAACGGCUCACCUAGGCGACGAUACAUAGCCGACCUGAGAGGGUGAUCGGCCACACUGGGACUGAGACACGGCCCAGACUCCUACGGGAGGCAGCAGUAGGGAAUCUUCGGCAAUGGACGAAAGUCUGACCGAGCAACGCCGCGUGAGUGAAGAAGGUUUUCGGAUCGUAAAGCUCUGUUGUAAGAGAAGAGCGGGUGUGAGAGUGGAAAGUCCACACUGUGACGGUAUCUUACCAGAAAGGGACGGCUAACUACGUG